AUUGAACGCUGGCGGCAGGCCUAACACAUGCAAGUCGAACGAGUGGCGGACGGGUGAGUAAUGUCUGGGAAACUGCCUGAUGGAGGGGGAUAACUACUGGAAACGGUAGCUAAUACCGCAUACCAUCGGAUGUGCCCAGAUGGGAUUAGCUAGUAGGUGGGGUAAAGGCUCACCUAGGCGACGAUCCCUAGCUGGUCUGAGAGGAUGACCAGCCACACGGGAACGGAUAGACGUUCCAGACUCAUACGGGAGGCAGCAGGGGGGAAUAGUGCACAAGGGGCGCAAGCCUGAUGCAUCCAUGCCGCGUGUAUGAAGAAGGCCUUCGGGUUGUAAAGUACUUUCAGCGGGGGGGGGUUACCCGCAGAAGAAGCACCGGCUACCUCCGUGCCAGAAGCCGCGGUAAUAC
rnacentral:rRNA from 1 species